rnacentral:rRNA from 1 species
UUUCGAAUCAUUCACAAUGGGGGAAACCCUGAUGGUGCGACGUCGCGUGAGGGAUGAAGGUCUUCGGAUUGUAAACCUCUGUCAUCAAGGAGUAAUGGUAAGGUUCAUAGCCUUAUUUGAAUUAACUUGAAGAGGAAGUAGUGGCUAACUCUGUGCCAGCAGCCGCGGUAAUACAGAGACUACGAGCGUUACUCGGAUUCACUGGGCGUAAAGGGAGCGCAGGCGGAAUGAUAUGUCAGGUGUGAAAUCCUGGGGCUUAACCCCAGAGCUGCGCCUGAAACUAUUUUUCUAGAGACUUGGAGAGGUAAGUGGAAUUUCUAGUGUAGCAGUGAAAUGCGUAGAUAUUAGAAGGAACACCAAUGGCGAAGGCAGCUUACUGGACAAGAUCUGACGCUCAGGCUCGAAAGCAUGGGUAGCAAAAG